rnacentral:rRNA from 1 species
CGGCGAGUGGCGAACGGGUGAGUAACACAUCGGAACGUACCGGCUAGUGGGGGAUAACCCGUCGAAAGACGGGCUAAUACCGCAUACGCUCUUCGGAGGAAAGCAGGGGACCUUUGGGCCUUGCGCUAGCCGAGCGGCCGAUGUCCGAUUAGCUAGUUGGUGGGGUAAAGGCCUACCAAGGCGACGAUCGGUAGCGGGUCUGAGAGGACGAUCCGCCACACUGGGACUGAGACACGGCCCAGACUCCUACGGGAGGCAGCAGUGGGGAAUCUUGGACAAUGGGGGCAACCCUGAUCCAGCAAUGCCGCGUGGGUGAAGAAGGCCUUCGGGUUGUAAAGCCCUUUCGGCAGGGAAGAAAUCGGCGGGGCGAAUAACCCUGCUGGAUGACGGUACCUGCAGAAGAAGCACCGGCUAACUACGUGCCAGCAGCCGCGGUAAUACGUAGGGUGCGAGCGUUAAUCGGAUUUACUGGGCGUAAAGCGUGCGCAGGCGGCCCGUUAAGACAGGUGUGAAAUCCCUGGGCUCAACCUAGGAAUUGCGCUUGUGACUGGCGGGCUCGA